rnacentral:rRNA from 1 species
UUAAGCGACUAAGCGUACACGGUGGAUGCCCUGGCAGUCAGAGGCGAUGAAGGACGUGCUAAUCUGCGAUAAGCGUCGGUAAGGUGAUAUGAACCGUUAUAACCGGCGAUUUCCGAAUGGGGAAACCCAGUGUGAUUCGUCACACUAUCAUUAACUGAAUCCAUAGGUUAAUGAGGCGAACCGGGGGAACUGAAACAUCUAAGUACCCCGAGGAAAAGAAAUCAACCGAGAUUCCCCCAGUAGCGGCGAGCGAACGGGGAGCAGCCCAGAGCCUGAAUCAGUGUGUGUGUUAGUGGAAGCGUCUGGAAAGGCGCGCGAUACAGGGUGACAGCCCCGUACACAAAAAUGCACAUACUGUGAGCUCGAUGAGUAGGGCGGGACACGUGGUAUCCUGUCUGAAUAUGGGGGGACCAUCCUCCAAGGCUAAAUACUCCUGACUGACCGAUAGUGAACCAGUACCGUGAGGGAAAGGCGAAAAGAACCCCGGCGAGGGGAGUGAAAAAGAACCUGAAACCGUGUACGUACAAGCAGUGGGAGCACAGAGCAAUCUGUGUGACUGCGUACCUUUUGUAUAAUGGGUCAGCGACUUAUAUUCUGUAGCAAGGUUAACCGAAUAGGGGAGCCGAAGGGAAACCGAGUCUUAACUGGGCGUUAAGUUGCAGGGUAUAGACCCGAAACCCGGUGAUCUAGCCAUGGGCAGGUUGAAGGUUGGGUAACACUAACUGGAGGACCGAACCGACUAAUGUUGAAAAAUUAGCGGAUGACUUGUGGCUGGGGGUGAAAGGCCAAUCAAACCGGGAGAUAGCUGGUUCUCCCCGAAAGCUAUUUAGGUAGCGCCUCGUGAAUUCAUCUCCGGGGGUAGAGCACUGUUUCGGCAAGGGGGUCAUCCCGACUUACCAACCCGAUGCAAACUGCGAAUACCGGAGAAUGUUAUCACGGGAGACACACGGCGGGUGCUAACGUCCGUCGUGAAGAGGGAAACAACCCAGACCGCCAGCUAAGGUCCCAAAGUCAUGGUUAAGUGGGAAACGAUGUGGGAAGGCCCAGACAGCCAGGAUGUUGGCUUAGAAGCAGCCAUCAUUUAAAGAAAGCGUAAUAGCUCACUGGUCGAGUCGGCCUGCGCGGAAGAUGUAACGGGGCUAAACCAUGCACCGAAGCUGCGGCAGCGACGCUUAUGCGUUGUUGGGUAGGGGAGCGUUCUGUAAGCCUGCGAAGGUGUGCUGUGAGGCAUGCUGGAGGUAUCAGAAGUGCGAAUGCUGACAUAAGUAACGAUAAAGCGGGUGAAAAGCCCGCUCGCCGGAAGACCAAGGGUUCCUGUCCAACGUUAAUCGGGGCAGGGUGAGUCGACCCCUAAGGCGAGGCCGAAAGGCGUAGUCGAUGGGAAACAGGUUAAUAUUCCUGUACUUGGUGUUACUGCGAAGGGGGGACGGAGAAGGCUAUGUUGGCCGGGCGACGGUUGUCCCGGUUUAAGCGUGUAGGCUGGUUUUCCAGGCAAAUCCGGAAAAUCAAGGCUGAGGCGUGAUGACGAGGCACUACGGUGCUGAAGCAACAAAUGCCCUGCUUCCAGGAAAAGCCUCUAAGCAUCAGGUAACAUCAAAUCGUACCCCAAACCGACACAGGUGGUCAGGUAGAGAAUACCAAGGCGCUUGAGAGAACUCGGGUGAAGGAACUAGGCAAAAUGGUGCCGUAACUUCGGGAGAAGGCACGCUGAUAUGUAGGUGAAGUCCCUCGCGGAUGGAGCUGAAAUCAGUCGAAGAUACCAGCUGGCUGCAACUGUUUAUUAAAAACACAGCACUGUGCAAACACGAAAGUGGACGUAUACGGUGUGACGCCUGCCCGGUGCCGGAAGGUUAAUUGAUGGGGUUAGCGCAAGCGAAGCUCUUGAUCGAAGCCCCGGUAAACGGCGGCCGUAACUAUAACGGUCCUAAGGUAGCGAAAUUCCUUGUCGGGUAAGUUCCGACCUGCACGAAUGGCGUAAUGAUGGCCAGGCUGUCUCCACCCGAGACUCAGUGAAAUUGAACUCGCUGUGAAGAUGCAGUGUACCCGCGGCAAGACGGAAAGACCCCGUGAACCUUUACUAUAGCUUGACACUGAACAUUGAGCCUUGAUGUGUAGGAUAGGUGGGAGGCUUUGAAGUGUGGACGCCAGUCUGCAUGGAGCCGACCUUGAAAUACCACCCUUUAAUGUUUGAUGUUCUAACGUUGACCCGUGAUCCGGGUUGCGGACAGUGUCUGGUGGGUAGUUUGACUGGGGCGGUCUCCUCCUAAAGAGUAACGGAGGAGCACGAAGGUUGGCUAAUCCUGGUCGGACAUCAGGAGGUUAGUGCAAUGGCAUAAGCCAGCUUGACUGCGAGCGUGACGGCGCGAGCAGGUGCGAAAGCAGGUCAUAGUGAUCCGGUGGUUCUGAAUGGAAGGGCCAUCGCUCAACGGAUAAAAGGUACUCCGGGGAUAACAGGCUGAUACCGCCCAAGAGUUCAUAUCGACGGCGGUGUUUGGCACCUCGAUGUCGGCUCAUCACAUCCUGGGGCUGAAGUAGGUCCCAAGGGUAUGGCUGUUCGCCAUUUAAAGUGGUACGCGAGCUGGGUUUAGAACGUCGUGAGACAGUUCGGUCCCUAUCUGCCGUGGGCGCUGGAGAAUUGAGGGGGGCUGCUCCUAGUACGAGAGGACCGGAGUGGACGCAUCACUGGUGUUCGGGUUGUCAUGCCAAUGGCACUGCCCGGUAGCUAAAUGCGGAAGAGAUAAGUGCUGAAAGCAUCUAAGCACGAAACUUGCCCCGAGAUGAGUUCUCCCUGACUCCUUGAGAGUCCUGAAGGAACGUUGAAGACGACGACGUUGAUAGGCCGGGUGUGUAAGCGCAGCGAUGCGUUGAGCUAACCGGUACUAAUGAACCGUGAGGCUUAACCUU